UACGAAGGGGGCUAGCGUUGCUCGGAAUCACUGGGCGUAAAGGGCGCGUAGGCGGCCCGCUAAGUCGAACGUGAAAUCCCUGGGCUCAACCCAGGAACUGCGUCCGAUACUGGCAGGCUUGAAUCCGGGAGAGGGAAGUGGAAUUCCCGGUGUAGUGGUGAAAUGCGUAGAUAUCGGGAGGAACACCAGUGGCGAAGGCGACUUUCUGGCCUGUUCUUGACGCUGAGGCGCGAAAGCUAGGGGAGCAAACGGG
rnacentral:rRNA from 1 species